rnacentral:rRNA from 1 species
AUGAGCAGAGCUGAUGGAGCCAAGUGGUCGAUUACUGGGGUCUACGGGCCACAGUCUGAGGGAGACAAGGUGUUGUUCAUGGAAGAGUUACGAAUGAUCAAGCAACACACGCUCCCAAGAUGGAUGCUCCUGGGGGAUUUCAACAUGAUCUACAAAGCAAGUGAGAAGAGCAAUAACAACAUUAACUUGAGGCUGAUGGGCAGGUUCAGAGCCAUGAUCGAGGAUCUCGAGUUGAUCGAUUUUCCGCUGUUGGGAAGACGGUUUACAUGGUCCAAUGAACGACAGAACAUCACCCUUACCAAAAUAGACAGGGUGUUGGUUUCCAAUGAGUGGGAAGCAGCUUUCCCACAUUAUCAGCUGUCCCCUGCCUCUACAAAUGUUUCUGAUCAUUGCCCCUUGAUCCUCAAGAAAAUGGAGACAGCGCACUACAAGGCGUUUCGUUUUGAGAAUCACUGGCUGAAAUGCUCGGAGUUUGAUGGUAUUGUAACCCAAGCUUGGUCUAAAGAGGUCAAAUCUGGUGACCUGAUCAGGGUGCUGCACACGAAACUAUCUAGGACUGCUAGAGCGCUGAAAGAGUGGAACAAGCACAAAAAGAGGGACACGGUUUUCCUCUCGGGGGUGGCAAACGAGGUCAUUUUCAUGUUGGACUUGGCGCAGGAGGAAAGAGAGCUUUCAGAGGGGGAGAGGAAUUUACGGGCUAUGCUCAAGGCAAAAUUGUUGGGUUUUGCGGCAGUCGACAGGGCGCGGUGGAGGCAGAAAUCGCGAUUGACAGAGAUCAAGGAGGAGGAUGCCAGCACGCGCUUAUUCCACCUAAGAGCUAGUGGAAGAAGGCGCAAGAAUUACAUUCCAACUUUAAAGGGGCGUGACGGGCUAGUAUCUGAUCAUGCUGGUAAGGCGAAGCUGCUGCUGGACAGAUUCCGGGAACUCAUGGGAACCCCUCAUGGGCGAUCGGCUGGGCUGAACUGGGAGGAACUGGGGCUGCCAAGAGACAGUCUGGAGCAGUUGGAGGUUGCUUUCACUGAGCAAGAACUGCACGCGGCGAUCAAUGAUUCGCAUGGGGAAAAGGCACCCGGCCCAGAUGGAUUUACGGGAGCAUUUUUCAAACACUGCUGGUCCACUAUCAAGGGGGAUAUACUAGCUGCGGUUAACUGUGUGCAAAGCCUGAGAGGGCAGAAUUGGAAUAUUUUGAAUACGGCCAAUGUGGUGCUACUCCCGAAGAGAGAUGGGGCACAGGAGGUGGCUGACUUCAGACCCAUUUGUUUGAUACAUAGCAUCCCAAAAUUGGUGAGCAAGAUGCUUGCGUCCAGAUUAGCACCAGUGAUCCACAAGCUAGUGACGCACAACCAGAGCGCCUUCAUCCGAGGUCGAUCCAUCCAGGACAAUUUCCUCUACGUUCGGAAUGUGAUCAAGGCCGCACACACUGCCAAAUCUCCCAUGGUGUUCCUGAAAUUGGAUAUAGCGAAAGCAUUUGACUCCGUGUGCUGGGCUUUUCUCCUGGAGGUGAUGGAGGCAAUGGGCUUUGGACAGAGGUGGCGUGAUAUGAUAUCACUGAUGCUCUCAUCGUCCUCUUCACGUGUGCUGCUCAACGGAGUGCCUGGGGUGCCGUUUCACCAUCGGUGUGGUUUAAGGCAAGGGGAUUCUUUGUCACCAUUGCUGUUCAUUCUGGCAAUGGAGCCGCUGCAGAGAUUGCUUCAGCUGGCGACAGAGAGAAACAUUCUAUCGCGGCUACGACCGACGGUAGCGCGCUUCAGAUCUAGUUUCUAUGCCGAUGACGCAGCUUUGUUCAUUAACUCGGUAGCAGAUGAUUUUAACGCUGUACAGGCCAUUCUCACCCUGUUUGUGCCUCUGGAUUAA